UACGUAGGGUGCAAGCGUUAAUCGGAAUUACUGGGCGUAAAGCGUGCGCAGGCGGUUGUGCAAGACAGAUGUGAAAUCCCCGGGCUUAACCUGGGAAUUGCAUUUGUGACUGCACGGCUAGAGCGUGUCAGAGGGGGGUAGAAUUCCACGUGUAGCAGUGAAAUGCGUAGAUAUGUGGAGGAAUACCGAUGGCGAAGGCAGCCCCCUGGGAUAACACUGACGCUCAUGCACGAAAGCGUGGGGAGCAAACAGG
rnacentral:rRNA from 1 species